AUAAGCGGAGGAAAAGAAACCAACAGGGAUUGCCUCAGUAACGGCGAGUGAAGCGGCAACAGCUCAAAUUUGAAAUCUGGCCCCCCGGGUCCGAGUUGUAAUUUGCAGAGGAUGCUUUUGGCGCGGUGCCUUCCGAGUUCCCUGGAACGGGACGCCAUAGAGGGUGAGAGCCCCGUACGGUUGGACACCAAGCCUGUGUAAAGCUCCUUCGACGAGUCGAGUAGUUUGGGAAUGCUGCUCAAAAUGGGAGGUAUAUUUCUUCUAAAGCUAAAUACCGGCCAGAGACCGAUAGCGCACAAGUAGAGUGAUCGAAAGAUGAAAAGCACUUUGAAAAGAGGGUUAAACAGCACGUGAAAUUGUUAAAAGGGAAGCGCUUGUGACCAGACUUGCGCCCGGUGAAUCACCCAGCUCUCGCGGCUGGGGCACUUUGCCGGCUCAGGCCAGCAUCAGCUCGCCGUCGGGGACAAAAGCUUCGGGAACGUAGCUCUCUUCGGGGAGUGUUAUAGCCCGCUGCACAAUACCCUUCGGCGGGCUGAGGUACGCGCUCCGCAAGGAUGCUGGCGUAAUGGUCAUCAGCGACCCGUCUUGAAACACGGACCAAGGAGUCAACCUU
rnacentral:rRNA from 1 species